rnacentral:tRNA from 1 species
GGCGGUGUAGCUCAGUUGGUCAGAGCACGCGGUUCAUACCCGUGUUGUCGCCGGUUCGAUUCCAGCCACCGCCACCA